rnacentral:rRNA from 1 species
CCGCCGSGGUAAUYCGUAGGGGGCGAGCGUUGCCGCGGAAUCACUGGGUGUAAAGGGGMCGUAGGCGGAUGAUCAAGUCAUCUGUGAAAAGAUUGCUCAACGAUUGGCUUGCGGAUGAAACUGGUCUAUCUUGGGCGUAGCAGAGGUAGACGGAAUUACCUGAGUAGGGGUGAAAUCCGCAGAUACAGGUAAGAACGCCGGUGAAGAAGUUGGUCUACUGGGCUUAAGUGACGCUGAGGUCCGAAAGCCAGGGGAGCGAACCGGAUUAGAUACCCGGGUAGUCCUGGCUGUAAACGAUGCUCACUAGGUGUAGGGAGCGAAAGACUCUCUGUGCUGAAGCGAACGCGCUAAGUGAGCCACCUGGGGAGUACGUCCGCAAGGAUGAAACUCAAAGGAAUUGACGGGGGUSCGCACAASCGGUGGAGCAUGUGGUUUAAUUCGAAGCUAACCGAAGAACCUUACCAGGGAUUGACAUGUAACUGAAGGUAGAGAAAUCUACUGGCCUGCCGCAAGGCAGGGGGUUACACAGGUGGUGCACGGUCGUCGUCGAGCUCGUGCCGUGAGGUGUUGGGSUUAAGUCCCAUCACCGAGCGCAACCCCUACGAUUAGUUACCAGCAAGUAAAGUUGGGUACACUAAUUGGACAGYCGCCGACGAGGCGGAGGAAGGAGGGGAUGMCGUCAGAUAAGCGUGCCCCUUAUACUCUGGGCGACACACGUGCUACAAUGGGGAGGACAAAGGGAAGCGAAGCCGGAAGGUGGAGCGGAUCCGGAAAAACUCUCCGUAAUAUGGAUUGUAGGCUGAAACCCGCCUACAUGAAGCUGGAAUCGCUAGUAAUCG